rnacentral:rRNA from 1 species
GAUGAACGCUAGAUACAGGCUUAACACAUGCAAGUCGAGGGACCGGCGCACGGGUGAGUAACACGUAUCCAACCAGCCCUUUACUCGUGGAUAGCCUUUCGAAAGAAAGAUUAAUACCCGAUAUAAAGGAUGGGGAUGCGUUCGAUUAGGUUGUUGGUGAGGUAACGCCUCACCGAGCCUUCGAUGGAUAGGGGUUAUGUGAGGAAGGUCCACCACAUUGGAACGGAGGUACGGUCCAAACUCCUACGAGAGGCAGCAGUGAGGAAUAUGGGUCAAUGGGUGCUAGCCUGAACCAGCCAAGUAGCGUGAAGGAUGAAGGCUUAUGGGUCGUAAACUUCGUUUAUAUAUGAAUAUGGAUUAUAUGAAUAAGGAUCGGCUAACUCCGUGCCAGCAGCCGCGGUAAUAC